rnacentral:lncRNA from 1 species
GGCUCCCUCUUACCACCAAGUAUUUUGGUAGUUCACAAAAAUGAUCUUGAAAUCAUCUUGUGUCAUUUAGUAUCAGAACUUAGACUUAUUACUAUCUUUAAAUUACUUUGCAUAUUCGUGUUGCAUAAUUAAUACUCAUCAAAUUAAGUGUUAAUCUCAUGUGUUACAUCUCACUAAAAUACAUUUAUCAGUUCGUUCAAG